UCACUGAUCCUUUCUGUCCAUGCGCGCAGCAGCAGUGUUGGGAACUCAACCAUGCCUUUCUCCCCCGGCUUACUCAGAAGUAAAAAAUCGCCAUCACCAUGGUUUGUUCGUGACGGGCAAACCUUCGUACACGGUACCUUCGUACGGAAAGGGACAAAGGUUCAGGAAAAAUGUUAACACUAAUUAAGUAUGUUCUUGUGAUGUAGGCGUUCGAGAACUGACCCAGCAUGGAGGACCCUGAGAAGCAGGCGACUAUCCUCCGACCAGUGCGCGACGAAGGACACAGAGCCCCAGUCUAGGGCGAGGCUAGGGACCUCAAGCGGUGGGCACAUAACCUUCGACAGCCGGCCACCGAAGGAUCCGGACCUCCGGCCAAGGCAAGGCAGAGGAAUAGGUUGCAUCAAGGCCAAGAGCCCGGCGCAUCGACCCAUGAAGUGUUCACGGGUUGAAAUUACUCAAGUAACCCCACGAGUCGUAGACAGCGCUGGCGGAAUAUGCUGGAAUAUUCUACCACCAUCAUGGGGUAUUUUUGUAACGGAUCCCAGCCAGAAUCCGCGCUCUAUAUAAAGGGAUUGUAAAUGCUCUUUCAGGAGUUAGUUGAAUUCAAAUUAUUAUUGAAG
rnacentral:lncRNA from 1 species